UCCUUCUUAGCUCAGUUGGUAGAGCGCGUCACUAGUAUAACGUGAUCUUUGGAAAUUAUACCAAUGACGAGGUCAGUCGUUCAAGUCGGCUAGAAGGAA